rnacentral:lncRNA from 1 species
AUAAACCUCCCCGAGGAUUGCCAUUAUUCAUACGAUCUCGACGUCAAACCUUCCCCGUCGUUUCUAGCAAGAGCUGUUACUUCCCAACUGACGCAUGCUGUUUCUUCCCAGCAAAUCCUUAAUCCAUCAAAGCCGGUCGAGUUUUUACAGUUGACGAUCGCCGUCAAAUCUACCACCGUCUGAAAGAAGCGUCGCCGCUAUUGAAAAGUAAUGUCGCCUUGUCCAACUGUCUUUCCCAAAUUUACCCGCCGACGUUCCCAAAAUCAAUGCACAUGUUGGAAUCAAAUGCAAGGGUUAGUUUUCUAGUAUUUUCCCCGAUUCCUUUUUUUUCAUUCUUGUUCUCUAGAUUUCCAAUUCCGGACGAGUUUCCGAUUGGUUUUUAACCUAUAUUGUUUUUCAUUCUUGUUCUCUAAAUUUCCAAUUCCGGAUGAGUUUUCGAUUGGUUCUUUAACCUAUAUAUAUGUGCUAAGUUUGUGCAUGUUGAUCCUUAUUUUUGCAUUGGUACAGUAAGAGAUCAAUAUUAAUCGAGUCCAUGAUUUUAAUUUUGAUUCUCCGUUUCUUUUGUGGAUUUGUUGGUUGUCGAAUUUGAAUUUGUCGCCUGAAUCUAUUUUGAGUUGAAUUUGUACAAAUAGUUACUUAUGAUGCAUAUUGUAUUUGGUUACAUCAGGGUUGCAUAGGUACUAAUUGUUAUAUAAACUUAGAAUUACCUGAAGAUUGUAUUGUUUGGUUCAUGUAAUCAAUAACAUUGGUGUGGGCUAUCUCAUUGUAUAUGUUAAUGGUCCUAUAUGUUGAAUGUGUUAAACACGAGUUCUAAAUCUGUUGUUGGGUUUGGUGGAACUGCACUUGUGUAGUAACCAAAUUUCGUCCGGGUUGUAGAGUUCGUAUCGACCUCUCGCUAUC